UUUAAUGUCCACACCAUGCUGAAUACACCGGUUCUAGUCCGAUCACCGAAGUUAAGCAGCAUCGGGCGUGGUUAGUACCUGGAUGGGUGAAGGCCUGGGAACACCGCAUGCUGUUGGCA
rnacentral:rRNA from 13 species